rnacentral:rRNA from 1 species
GUAGUCUCGCACAGAUGCAUAUCAAUAAGCGGAGGAAAAGAAACUAACUAAGGAUUCCCCUAGUAACGGCGAGUGAAGCGGGAAGAGCUCAAAUUUGAAAUCUUAAAGGGUUUCCCUUUACGAAUUGUAGUUUAAAGAAGUGUUUUCUGUUGAGGUUUUGGUAAAAGUUCUUUGGAAUAGGACAUCAUAGAGGGUGAGAAUCCCGUAUUUGACCUUUACUUUCAACUUUGUGAUACACUUUCAAAGAGUCGGAUUGUUUGGGAAUGCAGUCCAAAAUGGGUGGUAAAUUUCAUCUAAAGCUAAAUAUUGGCGAGAGACCGAUAGCGAACAAGUACCGUGAGGGAAAGAUGAAAAGAACUUUGAAAAGAGAGUUAAACAGUACGUGAAAUUGUCAAAAGGGAAGCGUUUGACACCAGUGUUGUUUUUCUGAAAAUCAAUUAAAGAACUGUUUAUGCUAAGUUGUUUAGACUUUAUCAGCUAUCUGUUUAGUUUUGAGCUUUUCUUUAAUGCACUUUUCAGUUAACAAGUCAACAUCAAUUUCUUUUGCUGUAAAAAAGCUUGAGGAAGGUGGCUUGAGAUUCGUCUUAAGUGUUUAGAGCCUCUUGCCUAUGCAGUCAGGAGAGAUUGAGGUCUGCAGCGUAGAUCCUUCGGGGCUAAAUGCAUUUGUGCUAAGUUAUAGCAUUUUAUAGACAACUUGUUGACUAUGAUUUGUCUUGUAGCUUACUCGCUUAUGUUAUUUUACCUACGCUUAGGAUGUUGACAGCAGUAUAGACUGU